GGAAAAGAGGAAUGCAUGGGCAUGGUCCUAUUUUGGUGUGUCUGGCUUUCCAUUUCUGUCUCCAGAUCCUUCCUCCUAAGCAGGGAGGACUCAUGAUGCCUCAUGAAACAAUGCCACAUGCUUGUGAAAAAUAUGAAUGAUUUAUUUGUCUGUGCAUGGAGGUGUGUAGGGAAGUUUCUUCACUGCAGAGCUGCUGGACUGUGAGUACUUAGUUGCUGUUAAUUCCUUGGAGAAUGUGUUGAUCAGAUGCACAGUGCCUAAAACUCGCUGGCUUGGUGCCCUAUCCACUAGAAAGUCUUGUUUCGGGAGAACAGUAUUUGGUGCUUCAGAGUAGUAUAGCGUGGGCAUAGGCAUAAUCAAUUGCCAGAGGAAAGUUCCUGCCUUGCAGCCUAGGAGUCCUUAAGACAUGGGGAAAAAGUUCAACACUCCUCACAGACCUUGGACGGCUUUUGUCUGCACGCCGCGCGCACCUUGCUCCAUGUCCUCGCAUCUCCCUUCGCGUGCUCCUCUUCAGAACAACCCAGACAUGCUGUUUCCUUUUCAUCCUCCGUCGUGAAAGAAGAUGUGGUUCCUCCUUCAGCUCCUGCCCUCUCACAAUAAUCACCUCUUAGCAGAAAAGAGCCAUUUCACAACACGCCGUUGUCUUUGAUCCUAUGUUUGCUUUCUCGUCAAUAUACACUAUCUCAGGGUCUUGCUCAUGAGUGCCCUGAACAUAAGACAUACUAUUACAUUUUUUCAUAGAGUUCAUAAGCAUUUGCAAAACUCCU
rnacentral:lncRNA from 1 species